GGAGAGACGAGCUGCAGAUUGGGCCCGCGGCAGAAGAGCAGACCAAGACAGAAGGAUUCCCGAAUGCAGGAGAGACCGAGAGGACGGUGUUCUCUCUUUAAAGAAGUGGAUUUCCGUUUCCCCUCCAAAGACAAGACAUUAGUUAAGUUUUACCGGCGAAGAUCGACCGAAGCCUGAGUUACCCCCUGUUUUGACUGUUUUCUGUUUAAUCUGAAGGACGUAAAUUAAAACCUUUGUUUGCAUUUUUGAACUCUGUCCUCGCGCUAUUUGAACUACCCCGGAGAGAGCGGCUGCGCCUCUCGUGACGUCACAAGACAAAGCGUAGAACACGUGGUUCCCGCUCAUUUCCUUUGUUCAGUGGUGUGACUGGCCCGCUUUGCUAAAAGGGUUUAGUCAAAUUGACGAAGCGAUCAAGAGAGACAGAGUCAGGCUUACGGGGUUGUUAGAAAACGUCUUGUUUACGACAAUACACCGGUUGCUAUGCAACUUGGUAUGCCUGCUACCUUGUGUAGACCGACAAUCAUCCAACCCUUGAUCAUCUAAAAGAACGACAGACGCUUAAAACGUCAGCGUCCCUCCAAUGAACUCCCCCCUCUUCUCCACCACCUCCAUCUCUGAUUCACACACUCCCACAGCCAGGGCCUGUGAACCUCACCAGGCGUUUAAGGAUUCUGGAAUAUGUUAGAAUCUGGGCGCUACAUCUGCUGAACAAGGUCUGGCUUAAAUACAAUGUAGAGAUUGGUUAUGGCUGUCAGACAAAUGAUCCCAGUCAGAAAAAACAUCCUUGUUUGGAGCAAUGCGACUGCUUCUACCAACUACACUUUGAACCCAUAAUGAAAAGUUUGUGGAAUGAGAACUUCAUAUCCGCCGUCUCCCUGUUUAUGGCUGUGGAUCAUCUUCAUGUCGACUGGUACCACAUCCAGGAGGCUGUGGAAGUUCUUUUAAACCAUCUGAAUUAUGUGGACAAUGCGGAUGAUACCAUCCAAAAAAUGUAUGAGACAAUGGACGGGGAAGACAGACAAAAUGAAUCAACUAACAAAGCUUGACAAGUGGUGGGAAGAAGUACGAGAGCAGAAUGAGGAGUGGGAGGUACCCGAUGAUGAUGAGACUGACGUUGACGUGUAAAAACCAAACAUGCUGAGAGAAAAAAUGAAGUGAACAUCUUGAGUGUCCUGUAACGUGAUUUUAAAAACGAAUGUUAUUCUUCAGACUACCGCUGAUAUGUUUUGUAUAACAGAAAUAAAACACAUUUGUGCUCAUUGGUACUUUGACACUAUCAUGGAAGGGACGCUGCAGAUGUAUUAUGAUCCAGCACAUCCCAAAGGAUUGGGCAGUGUGGCUGAACUGCCGUUAGAGAAGGAACCGGGGCGACGCCGUCAAUGUCCGCGGUGAAUUCAUUUUUAUUGGAGCAGGACGCGUAUCCGCUGCACGCUGAGGCAGCCGUACAUUGUCCGAGGAACAG
ensembl:lncRNA